rnacentral:rRNA from 1 species
GAUGAACGCUGGCGGCGUGCUUAACACAUGCAAGUCGUACGGUCAGGCGCUUUCGGGGCUCCUCGAGCGGCGGACGGGGGCGUAACACGUGCGUAACCUGCACACACCUUUGGGAUAACGAUAGCUUACUGGUGCUAAUACUGGUUCCGUACUACUGCUGCAUGGUGGGGGUUGGAUAGCUCCGGAGGUUUUGGCUGUACUCGCGAGCUAUCUGCUUGUUGCUGGGGUGGUGGCUUACCGAGGCGGCUGCGGGUAGCCGGACUGAGGGACUGACCGGCGACAUAGAGACUUAGAGACGGCCGAGACAGCUACGGGAGGCAGCAGGGGGGAAUAUUGCAGAAGGGACGCAAGCCGGAUGCAGCAGCGCCGCGGGCGGGAUGACGGUCUUCGGGUUGAAAAACGAUUUCGGAAGGAACGAAGCAUGUUGUGACGGUACCUACAGAAGAAGCACCGGCUAACUACGUG